GGAUAACCUGCCCUAUCGUCUGGAAUAACCUCGGGAAACUGAGAAUAAGGCCGGAUAGUUCACAAAGCCUGGAACGGUUUGUGAAUCAAGGUAGGAUGGGUCUGCGGCGUAUCAGGUAGUAGGGGGUGUAAAGGACCCCCUAGCCUUCGACGCGUACGGGUGUUGGGAGACAUAGCCCGGAGAUGGAUUCUGAGACACGAAUCCAGACCCUACGGGGUGCAGCAGGCGCGAAAACUUCACACUGCAGGAAACUGUGAUGAGGGAACUCCAAGUGUGUGCACUAUGUGUACACUUUUAUGAACUUUUAAUCGGUUCAGGAAUAAGGGCUGGGAAAGACCGGUGCCAGCCGCCGCGGUAAUACCGGCAGCUCAAGUGGUCGUCGCUUUUAUCGGGCCUAAAACGUCCGUAGCCUGUUUGGUAAAUCUGUGGGUAAAUCAACUCGCUCAACGAGUUGAAUUCUGCAGAGACUGCCAGACUAGGGACCGGGAGAGGUGUGGGGUACUCGAGGGGUAGGGGUAAAAUCCUGUCAUCCUUCGAGGACCACCAGUUGCGAAGGCGCCACACUGGAACGGAUCCGACGGUCAGGGACGAAGCCUAGGGGCACGAACCGGAUUAGAUACCCGGGUAGUCCUAGGUGUAAACGCUGUGAACUUGGUGUCGGGGGUCCGCAAGGGGUCCCCGGUGCCGGAGUGAAGAUGUUAAGUUCACUGCCUGGGGAGUACGGUCGCAAGGCUGAAACUU
rnacentral:rRNA from 1 species